UUCUUGAUCGUAUAACGGUUAGUAUGCUCGCUUGUCAUUGUGAACGCGGGAGAUCGGAGUUCGAUUCUCCGUCAGGAAG
rnacentral:tRNA from 1 species